UACGAAGGGUGCAAACGUUGCUCGGAAUCAUUGGGCGUAAAGCGCACGUAGGCGGCCCCGAAAGUCGGAUGUGAAAUCCCUCGGCUCAACCAAGGAAGUGCAUCCGAAACUGUGGGGCUUGAGUACCAAAGAGGAUCGCGGAAUUCCCGGUGUAGAGGUGAAAUUCGUAGAUAUCGGGAGGAACACCAGUGGCGAAGGCGGCGAUCUGGGUGGAUACUGACGCUGAGGUGCGAAAGCGUGGGGAGCAAAC
rnacentral:rRNA from 1 species